AUCGAGCUGAUGAGUCACAAAUAAGACGAAACCCGCGUCCUGUAU
rfam:Schistosoma mansoni strain Puerto Rico chromosome 3, complete genome